rnacentral:rRNA from 1 species
GCGAACGCUGGCGGCAUGCCUAACACAUGCAAGUCGCGCGGGCAGCUUCGGCUGUCAGCGGCGGACGGGUGAGCAACGCGUAGGAACGUGUCCAGAGGUGGGGGACAACCCCGGGAAACUGGGGCUAAUACCGCAUGCGGCCUGCGGGCCAAAGCCGAAAGGCGCCUUUGGGGCGGCCUGCGUCCGAUUAGGUAGUUGGCGGGGUAACGGCCCACCAAGCCCGCGAUCGGUAGCCGGUCUGAGAGGACGAUCGGCCACACCGGGACUGAGACACGGCCCGGACUCCUACGGGAGGCAGCAGUGGGGAAUAUUGGGCAAUGGGCGCAAGCCUGACCCAGCAAUGCCGCGUGGGUGAAGAAGGUCUUCGGAUUGUAAAGCCCUUUCGGCGGGGACGAUGGUGACGGUACCCGCAGAAGAAGCCCCGGCCAACUUCGU